rfam:Astyanax mexicanus chromosome 1, whole genome shotgun sequence.
UGAGUGUUAAUGAUGACUCUUUUUGCGGAAUCCAAUUAAACAUGCGGAUACCAACCUUGGAGAACUGAACACUCA